rnacentral:rRNA from 1 species
UACGGGGGGGGCGAGCGUUGUUCGGAAUUACUGGGCGUAAAGGGCGCGUAGGCGGCCCGCUAAGUCAGACGUGAAAUCCCUCGGCUCAACCGGGGAACUGCGUCUGAUACUGGCAGGCUUGAAUCCGGGAGAGGGAUGUGGAAUUCCAGGUGUAGCGGUGAAAUGCGUAGAUAUCUGGAGGAAUACCGGUGGCGAAGGCGGCAUCCUGGACCGGUAUUGACGCUGAGGCGCGAAAGCCAGGGAGCAAACGGG